GACGAACGCUGGCGGCGUGCCUAAUACAUGCAAGUCGAGCGGACGAAUCGAAAGCUUGCUUUUGAUUCGUUAGCGGCGGACGGGUGAGUAACACGUGGGCAACCUGCCCUGUAGACGGGGAUAACACCGAGAAAUCGGUGCUAAUACCGGAUAACACGAAAUGUCGCAUGACGUUUCGUUGAAAGACGGCGCAAGCUGUCGCUACAAGAUGGGCCCGCGGCGCAUUAGCUAGUUGGUGAGGUAACGGCUCACCAAGGCGACGAUGCGUAGCCGACCUGAGAGGGUGAUCGGCCACACUGGGACUGAGACACGGCCCAGACUCCUACGGGAGGCAGCAGUAGGGAAUCUUCCGCAAUGGACGAAAGUCUGACGGAGCAACGCCGCGUGAGCGAAGAAGGCCUUCGGGUCGUAAAGCUCUGUUGUUAGGGAAGAACAAGUAACGCAGUAACUGGCGUUACCGUGACGGUACCUAACGAGAAAGCCACGGCUAACUACGUG
rnacentral:rRNA from 1 species